CCCGGGUCCCAGUCAUCAAACGUCAUUGCACAUUUGAUUGCUGUGAUCUGGUUU
rnacentral:pre_miRNA from 1 species